AAUCUUCUUUGAAGAUCAUCCAUGGUCAUCUUCUUCACCAACAUGAUAUCAUUAAAAACCCUUACCUCCGUCUCUGGCAGCUAGGGUUUUGUUGAGCCGAUUUCUAGCUUCAUGUCUGGUUUUCAUGAAGAUCUGUGGUGUUAAUGGUGUACCUGUACGACGUUCUGCUAGGAAGCAUGGGUUUUAGCCAAAUUUUGGUAAUUCAGACGCGAUUCCGGUGAGCCCAAAGUCGGCAGAAGGUGAAUAAGAGAUCGGCCGUAACGAUAGUGACAUGGUUCGGGCAGAGGAUGAGGCUAUCUUAUAGUACUGUGAAUCAGUGACCUAUUUUUAAUCCGAAGGAACCCGAGCGACUUCACCUCUCCGAAGAAAAGGAUCCAAUAAAAUCGAUUAGUUUUGGUAACUCAAACCCUGUGUGUCAUGCAUUUGAUCCCAAAGCUAAAGACGGGCAUGACUUUCUUAUCGGGUUGAACACGCGCGACGGUAACAAAUUUUCACUAAUUCCAAUUUACAAAGGGAAUUUCGAUAUUAGACUCUUCACUUAUUUUGUACACGCUUUUUAGUACCGAACUUUUUUGGUUGAGCUGCCCAUGGUUAUGGUUUGCAAGUAGGGAUGAGCAAAUGGUACCCGGUACCGGUAUCGAAUGUUUCCAUACCGGGUACACUUUUAGUACCGAUUCGGUACCAACUUUUUGAGAUUUUCAGUACCGGUACCGAACCGUACCGGGUAUAUUCAGUACCGCUACCGGUGCCCACUUUUGGGGAUUCUCGGUACCGGUCAUCCCUAUUUGCAAGAACUCUACAAUUUAUAAAUUUAUGCUUCGUUUUUGUUAUGAUUUUGUAACAUUAAUAUUUUUCCCCAUUUCAUUGACCUGCACUUGAUUACAGU